rnacentral:rRNA from 1 species
AACGAACGCUGGCGGCAGGCUUAACACACGCAAGUCGAGCGCCCCGCAAGGGGAGCGGCAGACGGGUGAGUAACGCGUGGGAAUCUACCCAUCUCUACGGAAUAACGCAUGGAAACGUGUGCUAAUACCGUAUACGUCCUUCGGGAGAAAGAUUUAUCGGAGAUGGAUGAGCCCGCGUUGGAUUAGCGAGUUGGUGGGGUAAAGGCCUACCAAGGCGACGAUCCAUAGCUGGUCUGAGUGGAUGAUCAGCCACACUGGGACUGAGACACGGCCCAGACUCCUACGGGAGGCAGCAGUGGGGAAUAUUGGACAAUGGGCGCAAGCCUGAUCCAGCCAUGCCGCGUGAGUGAUGAAGGCCCUAGGGUUGUAAAGCUCUUUCACCGGUGAAGAUAAUGACGGUAACCGGAGAAGAAGCCCCGGCUAACUUCGUGCCAGCCGCCGCGGUAA